rnacentral:lncRNA from 1 species
UUUUUUUCUUCAUCGAAUGCCCUUUUCCGUGCUUCUUUUUGAAUCUUCGAGUUAUAAUUUUUUUCUCUUUUUAUUUUUUCUUUCUCUCGAUUCAUCAAUUUUUUUCUUUUUUGUUCUUGCACUUUCUUGGGUUUGGGGAGCUUUUGGGGUUUUUUACCCCAAACUUAGCUUUUCAACACAGUUUGAAUGCAUUAUCAUGACUCUAAACAGGGUAAGGAAGUGUUUUUGGCCAA